rnacentral:rRNA from 1 species
CUACGGGGGGCUGCAGUGAGGAAUAUUGCACAAUGGGGGAAACCCUGAUGCAGCAACGCCGCGUGGAGGAUGACGCAUUUCGGUGUGUAAACUCCUUUUAUGAGUCAAGAAAAUGACGGUAGCUCAUGAAUAAGCACCGGCUAACUCCGUGCCAGCAGCCGCGGUAAUACGGAGGGUGCAAGCGUUACUCGGAAUCACUGGGCGUAAAGGACGCGUAGGCGGGUUGUCAAGUCAGGUGUGAAAUCCUACAGCUUAACUGUAGAACUGCACUUGAAACUGGCAACCUAGAGUAUGGGAGGGGGAGAUGGAAUUAGUGGUGUAGGGGUAAAAUCCGUAGAUAUCACUAGGAAUACCGAAAGCGAAGGCGAUCUCCUGGAACAUUACUGACGCUAAGGCGUGAAAGCGUGGGGAGCAAACAGGAUUAGAUACCCGCGUAGUC